rnacentral:RNase_P_RNA from 1 species
UCCUCUUCAACGCUGCGUUUCUAUGCUACAAACGGAGAGCCUGCGUGAGCAGUGCUUUCACUCUUUCCACUAGCAUAUGAGAAAUUCGGAGAAUCAGCUUCACUCUUUGGCCCGUCCAUCUACGCUUUGGCGUUCGAUGGGUAGCGGGCUCCGCCGGUGACGGCUUGACGCGAUAUCGCGUUUGUAAUUGGCAUCAGAAAAGCAGGGCCUGGGGCUGCCUCGUGUCUCGGCGCGAGUGUCAGUUUUUCCCAGGUUCCUCUGGGAGGGCCAUUACGAAGCUUGUGAUCAAACACUUGAGUGCAAUACGCAGCGUGCGGUGUCCUCGUCUUGCGGGGUAACACUUCAUGAUCCGAUUCCGAUUAUUCUGUUGAGGA